rnacentral:rRNA from 1 species
UGCCUAACACAUGCAAGUCGAACGCGACUGAGGGCUUCGGUUCUCAGUUGAGUGGCGAACGGGUGAGUAACACGUGGGUGACCUACCUUCGAGUGGGGGAUAACGUCCCGAAAGGGACGCUAAUACCGCAUAACAUCCCGCCUUUGAACAGGCGGACAUCAAAGCCGGGGAUCGCAAGACCUGGCGCUUGAAGAGGGGCCCGCGUCCGAUUAGCUAGUUGGUGAGGUAACGGCCCACCAAGGCGACGAUCGGUAGCCGGCCAGAGAGGGCGGACGGCCACACUGGGACUGAGACACGGCCCAGACUCCUACGGGAGGCAGCAGUGGGGAAUUGUUCGCAAUGGGCGCAAGCCUGACGACGCAACGCCGCGUGGAGGAUGAAGGUCUUCGGAUUGUAAACGCC